rnacentral:tRNA from 1 species
GCUCCUCUGGCCCAACCGGUAGAGGCAGCGGCCUUAGGGGCCGUCCAGUAUGGGUUCGAAUCCCAUGGGGAGCACCG